rnacentral:rRNA from 1 species
CCUACGGGAUGCAGCAGUGGGGAAUAUUGCACAAUGGUGGAAACCCUGAUGCAGCGACGCCGCGUGAGUGAAGAAGUUAUUCGGUAUGUAAAGCUCUAUCAGCAGGGAAGAAAAAAGACGGUACCUGACUCAGAAGCCCCGACUAACUACGUGCCAGCAGCCGCGGUAAUACGUAGGGGCCAAGCGUUAUCCGGGUGUACUGGGUGUAAAGGGAGCGUAGACGGUUGUGGAAGGCUGAAGUGAAAGCCCAGGGCUCAACCCUGGGACUGCUUUGGAAACGGUGGAGCUAGUGUGCUGGGGAGGUAAGUGGAAGUCCGAGGGUAGCGGUGAAAUGCGUAGAUAUGAGGAGGAAUACCAGUGGCGAAGGCGGCUUACUGGACAGUAACUGAGGUUGAGGCUCGAAAGCGUGGGGAGCAAACAGGAUUAGAAACCCCGUAGUC